ensembl:lncRNA
CACGAACGGAUGGCAUACCAGCGAAAACUCUGUAUGGAUACAAAUCCACAAAAAGCACUACGGACAAAAAUGAGAGGAAGAGAUUAAUAUUUGUUCGGAGUUACAAAGUAAUGUUAUUUGGUCCCUCGCAUGAGUGAACCCUAAUUUUCUGGGAGCUAAUUAGAAACGUGUAUGUCAUUUUGUGUGAGAAGCUGUUUUGCCUUUAGAAUACUGCUUUAAUACACUUUAUGACAGGACUCAUUAGUGUCUUUAGAUAUAUAUAUUUAUUUAUUUUAAAAACAAAUAUUUAUUUUUAGAUGCUUUUAUUUUCUGAGGAAAAAGUGCUGAGAAAGGAAAGCCAUCUAAGCCUUAAGUGUUGUUCCCAGGUCCCAUAGCAGUUGUCAUCCUCUGCCUUUUCUAGUUUCAGAAAAAUUAGCAUGAAUAUACUGUUAGUCCAGAGACACCAUCAGUGCCAGGACUAUAGCAUGAGGCGCGAACGGGACUCUUUUGCAUCCUCAGAUAACAAAGGUGUGCACUUUUCUCACUGGAAAUAUCCUAGACUUUGCUGGACAGUAUCCAGGAUGACCUAACCUAAGUCUCUGUUUCUGUGGUUUGGACCGGGUGAUCUCCAGAGAGGAUGUCUGACCCAGACUUUACUGUGAUUCCAUAAGGCAGCCACGGUGCACGGGGAGGAGAGAAGGACGAUGUGUGCAGAGCCAGGACAGACUCAGGACGCAAAUCAGCAAGGGGCUGUGUAUCAUUAAACAUCAACAGAACAUCUUGUCAAACACAGCUAACAUGAGCAGAGUCUGUCUGAUGCUAAAGCAUUAGUGAGACAUCCUCAAAACUGCUGAGCUUACUUAUUGCCAAAAGAUAAUACAUUACAGCAGUGUUGUCAUUAUCCAUUAAUUGCCAAGUGUAGUUACUCCUGAAAGUUCAGAGAUGUCUGGCUAUUUAGAGCACGGGAAAAUGUUGCCAAGUCUCUUAAAUUAGCCAAAUAACUCAACAGCUGAUACACUCGGCAUGUAAAGCAAAGGGAGAUCAAUGCAUUUAGUUAACAGGAUGUCUUUAUGCUGUGUGCACAGAGACUCACUGGAUAGUAUUAUGUGAGAGGCUUCUUAAGUGAAAUUGAAGUCUAAAUCAUCCAAUGUCUCCAGGAAGAGCCUUAUAUAUAUUUCAGAUGCAAGAGUGAGAGAUUGCGUCAGCGGAUUUAUAUGUAUCAGAUUACUUUUAAUUAAACUUUGUGCUCUGCUCUGGAGCCUGUAGCAUUUAUUGCAGCUGGGGAAUUGUGGUUUACUGCAGCUCUUGGUUGACAUUAAGUAGGCUAUAGAGCCAGAAGAGUGUUUACAGGCCCCCGUUAUUGAUUCAUGGCUGUUUUCUGCUUGUAGCUAUAAAGUAGAAAACUAAAGCUGUAUUAAGAGUCUGGUUUUUUUCCACAUGAUGAGAAUGUAGAUUUACCAGCACAAAAACAAAAAAAACCCCGAGCAUUUUCCAAGUUUAGAACUGACCCGCAAUUUCUGUUCUUAUUUUAUCAGUAGCAUGGUUUAUAUUUGAACCUUUUGUUGUGUAGGAAACAAAAGGCUGCAUUCACCUCCAACUGUCAGGUAUACAGCAAAAGCAGGAAUAAAAAGCUCAGCCCCUCCAGUUUAACCAGUAUCUGACAGUCAUCACAAUCUAUCUUAGCAAUACUAAAGAAAAUCUUCAGUUUUUCUGUCCUCAAAUUUGCAGCAAGUCUUGGAACAUAAGCAAAGAAUAUUAUCCCUGUUCUACAGAUAAAGAGAUCAAAUGACUCUUUCUAUGUUGAUGCAGUAUUUUGACCUUUUGUUAUUAAAUGUACAUAGCAGCAGCAAGAAGUGCUGCUGCAGUACAGUUUAAGCAAUGACUCUGUGCAUUCAUUCUAUUACAGAAUCUGAAUUAUGUGUCCCACUGGAAUUGUUGUAAUAGACUGCACAAAACAAGUGCAAGGACAAGAGGCUCCUGAUGGAAAGUACAGAACCAGAGGAACAUCUUCAUGACUCUUGUGUAAAUCAAGCACCCGAUUUUUUACAGGUACAGAAGCACACUGUACAAGGGACUUUCACCCCUCGCAAAGUCUGCUGUCAACUCGAGAUGGCCUUUAGUUGCAAGUCUAUUUCCUAAACAAAGUAGGGAUGCCUCCCAAAUUGCGGUAGCUUUGAGAUUUAUCCUCACCACAUUCACCUCCAAAAACCCUCUUUUCCAGCCAAGUCACUACUGCAAAACAACCAUAUCAAAAGGAAAAGCACCUAAACAAACACAAGUGCCGUAGAGUUUCCUGAAGAAGCUCUUUUGAGAUAGAGCUCCUACCAUGCAAAAGCCUUUCACAACUUUCAAAUUAAAAUGAAAAAGCCUCUUCUCAAAAUUAGCCUCUAACCCUUGGAGGAGCCAUCCUGAGCUGAGACAGGAGUGCUACACCUGCUGCAGCCAUUUACAUACAUCUCUCUCUCACACUGCUCUUUAAGCUGCUGCUGUUGACCUUGCCAGGGAGGACCAUGGUGUACUCAACAGAAAGGAGUAUCUCCACUACUUAAUCAUAAGAGCUUGUGAAGAAAAAUCUCUUUUUGAGCAUUUUGAACCUGCCAUUCCCUAGGUCUCUUGCUACAUGAGGCAAGACACAGUUGUUCCCUGUUCACCUUCUCCACGUCAUGAACAAUCAAAGACUGAACUGAGUGAAACUCCACUUAGCAAAUACAUAGGAUCUACUGAUGAAAUACAAUCAUAAUAUUGAAAAAAAUAGGAGGUAGCAUGUUCAGACUGUGAGAGGUUUUGACAGAUGUUCUGUUACUAAUGACACUAUAUUCAAAGUACACUAUAAGUAAGGAUUGAUAUAGCCAUUAUUCUGCAAAGCCUGCUGCAAUGUUAGCAUUUGCAAAAUAUAUUGGUUUUGAUGUCACCAUUUGUAGCACAUACUGUGAGGACACAGUAUGAGGAAUUAAGUAAUUGGUUGGAAAACACAGAGGUGGAGAACAAGAGGAUUCCAGAAGGACACACAUCUCCCCUUCCUCAAAUAUUACAUCACUCACCAUUCCUUCAAUACCAUUCUGGAGGAUACCAUGUAUCUCAGGAGAAGACCUGAGCCUCAGCUUUCUAGGGCAACACAUUGAGGCAUUGCACGUGGUAGAACAGUUUCUUGUUGGCCAUCAGUUCUGAUUCCUGUCUUAUGCCCCAUUAGAGUCCAGAUCUCCAAAGAUAAGGUACUUCAGAUGUGGACGAUCGGCCAGUGAAAUUUCCAAGGAGCAUCCAAGGCCUGAUCUGGUCUGACUUCCUGUGCUUUAGGAAGAGCUUGCAGUGCAAUAUAUCAGAGAAUUGGAGACAGCAUUUGCUCUGGAAGCUAGCAGGAGCAGGUGCACAUUUGGACUGCUGGAUGUCUUUCCUAAAUAAAUAAAUAAAUAAGCAGUCAUGAGAUCCUUGCUAUAGCCCUGUGCUGUAAGCAGAAGGGAGAUAAUUUUCUUUCUCAGAUAGAAAAACUAUAGAUCUUUGAAUGAGAGGGAGCACACCAGAACUUGUCUUAUUAAUGAAGAGAAUGAUGCUGUAGCUGGAAGCUGGAAAGUAUUAUGGCACUUGCAUAGGAGAGAAAAAGUUCCUGCUCCCAGCUUCUGUUUCAAGGCCAGGGACUCAGCAGUGUGUGUUAACUCAGGAGUUAUUUGUUGGCUGUCAUUACAGCUUUCUACCCUCUGGCCAGCUGUUUUGUGUUGCAUGUUGACAGUGUUCAGUGCAGGCUAUGGACCUGCAGGUGACUCCAUGCAGCUCUGCCCUCAUGUGCAUGUACUCCUGUGUGGCUCCUAGGUCACACAUUGCACAGCAGGGACAGCACCUGUGCUUUUUUUAUGUGCUACAGUUUUGAGAUAAUUGAUGAAUGCAUGUUAAAAGUAUUAUAAAACAAUUACUUACAGCAUUAGUUUUCUUGUCACACCAUCAUAUUGAGGAAGUCAGGCACAGCUUUUGCUCCACUUCUCUAUGAAAGCCUAUCAUAAAUUAUUUUCCUUCAGCAUCAAAAGUACAGAAAAUGCAGGAUAUGGUUAACCUAGAAAAACACAAGUAGGUGACUCAGCACAAGAUGGCAGUCAUACUGUGGGAUACCUGUGUGCCCCAAUGACAUGCAUCUUUCUGGCACUCUGUAUGUAAAAUUAAUUCACAAAUGAUAUUUUGGGAUUUCCUACAUGUACUAAAUCAUAAUAAAAGUCACCUGUUAAUGGCAAAGCCUCUCAGCACAGCUGACUGCAGAUUCCUCCCCAGCCAUUGGUUAGAGCUGUCAGAGACAGCCAAAAUCCACUUGAAAUUGAAAAGGUGUGAGCUGUAAAUAAAGGGAAAUCCUGGAUCACCACAGGGUGUUCAGCUCCCACACUUUGACCUCCCUUGGUCCCUUCUAUGUUUUGUUAAGAUUGUAUUUCUUCAUGCACUGUCUGGUUUAAAAGCCACCGUAAAUCUAUGGCGUGCAGCAAGAGUAACAGAGAAGGCACUAUGUAAUACAAGGGGCUAUAAUUCCAUCCAAGGCAUUCAGGAGCAGUCGUAAAUCAGCAUGGUGGAGCUUCGGCUGGGAGAAGUAGGACCGGAGGCUGAGGUGAGAGCAGUCUCCAUCUUCCUCCAUCCUCCAUCCACCCUCGGCCCUGCUGCAGUGACAGCCCUGUUACUGGAGCGUGCCCACCUACUGCAGCCUGCCUUCCUGCUGCAAAGCUUGGGGCUCAUCACGAAGAAGAUAAAAUAGAAUCACAGCUAACUGGAUUUUAGGGAAGGGGGUGAAUUAGAGGUGUCAUGCUGGAGGCAGGGGAAGAAGGAUGGGUGUGUUUGAGGGAUGCGGAUGGGUAGAUGCCUGGAAGAGUCGUAGGCAUAAGAGGCGGCCAUGUAAUUUCCAACAAAAGCCUAAAAGGGAUUAGAGGACAUUCCUUAUCACUCAUAGUUCCCUUCUAUUUUUCUUACCAGUGGUGUUUUCCAUCAAGUACUAUGAGGCUGUGCUCAGCGUUGUGAAGCUUGGACAAGGCCCACCCAGAACCAAGCAAUAUCAGGAUGGCCACUGCUUAGGAUUGUCACCAGCAGCUCAAUGGUGUUUGCUGGAGAGCAAUUUGCUUCUGGGUCUGCCCACUUCCAGUAGUAUUUAGGGACAGGGAUCAAACUGCAAACUCAGCUCCCUGUGCUGCUUCUCCCACAUCAGUAACAGCACAGCACUGCCAGCCUUCUCCUCCCUUCUGAGGGUCCUCUCCCUCUGCUGAUCCCUCACAAAUUCACUACGAUCGGAGGAGAGACCUCAUGAGGCGAGUGAAGUUAGAUUGCAUUGGGAUUGCAGUAACGACCACCACAUUCGGAGUGUUUUUAUUAUUUUUUUGUGACAGAAAGCACAGUGUGCAGCUAAGCAGGACCAAAGAACGUUUCAAAUAUUGGGAAAAUGUGCACCUCGUCCCAUUGCUUACUUUGGUGGAAAGAGGCUGCUGAAUGAGGCCUGCUGCUGCUUGACGCCGGAGCGCUGUGCUCAGUGUGCAACAGCAGGCCGAAACCAGCUCCUGCCCUGUUCCCUUCAUGUGCUCCAACAUGCUUACCUCCACUUGGCAUCACCCGCACAAACUAACCACCAUGUGUUUUGGCUCACGGACAGUCAAACCACUUCUUUUCUUCCAGCUGCACAUAUUUGGCAGAGUUCAAGGAGCUGAACACAGGAACACACGAUUUCCAGUUGAGGGUACUUUCUGUAGCUGUUUUAGCUUCACAUUAGAAACAACUGUUCCUUAUUUUGCGUUCACUUACUCAAAGUAACACACACAGCUCAAUCAUUAGAAACUUGGACUAGCUUGAGUGACAGACACAGCGCCAUACACUGGGUAACACAUUCUCCUUUGCUUUAAUAUGGAAAAUCUUCUUUCAAGCGUGGAACACUUCUGAAGGAUAUUCUCUUUCUGCACAAAUUUUAAUGAAACUUGGGAAUGAUCACUUUUCUUAUUUCCUUUUCUGUCACUUGGUACAGCAUACUGAAUAUCUAAGGCUUAAUGAAUUUUAAAGUUCUCAUUUUGCUACAACGGAAGGCCUGAAAAUUUCUUAAGUUUUGGGAAAGCUAAUGAAAUGCAAAGGGGAAUGAAGUGGAAACUAAUUUGUCCAUUCGAACUUCAAAAUGUCAGUGAGAUUUUCUGAAGAAACAAAAGUUAAAUCACUAAACUCUGGGCCAUCAAUCACUGUAUUUUACUUGUGGUAAAAUGGUAAAAAAAAAAAAAAAAGAAAAGAAAAUAUAACCAAAGGUUUUGGACAUGUUGAAACUUCAGGAGAGAAAGAAAUUAUUAGUCUAUGUCUCGCAUUUCUAGCCACAGUGGAGGUCACUGUGAUGCAACAGCAAGCCAAGGCUAAAUAAGAAUAGGACCUAUGGGAUUCCAAACUGAUUUUCAAGUAGUGGUUGCUGGAACCCCAUUGGUCAAGCUCAUAGGGCAGCUUUUUAGCAGAUGUAGAAGGUACCAAGUUCAGGUUAAAUCCAGAGAGAUAAGCGUGUAAUGGCCACUUGGGAGUCACCUGCUCAGAAGAGGCUGUGACGGCUGAGAUGGGCCUGGAGCUUCCAGGCCAUGGGGUGCAGCAAGCCAGGGUUUGCUCUCCACAGUCUCACAAGAAGUGAAAUGUUUUCAUCAGCAAAAUUGAGAUGGUUGAAAAACCUGUCCAGGUGUGUGACAGAAAAAAGAUUAAGCUGCCAGUUUUCACAAAAGCUACCAGAGCUGUUCCAACAGUAAUGCCUCCCCUUCUAUUAUGUUGGACCAUGAAAUCAGUGGUGGAUGUUGGUGGUUCGGCAGUAGAGGUUGAACCUUCCUGCCAGUAUUCCAUUACAUUUUGUUACCAUGUGACAGAUGACAGCAGAGGAGUAGUCAGCCAUAAUGGCAUCUGACAUGGAAGUACAUCUGAAGCAAAGGUGUGUCAUUGUAUUCCUCCAUGUAGAAAAAUGGCACCCAUUGACAUUCACUGACACUUGGUGAAUGUUUCUGGAGACCAAACGGUGAGUAUGAGCACAUUGAGGCGGUGGGUGGUGCAUUUCAGCAGUGGUGACAGUGACAUGAAAGAAAGGCACAUUCUGGAUGGCCAUGCAUAUCUGUCACACCACGAAAUGAAGAGCAUUUCCAUCAGCUCAUCCAGGUCCAUUGGCAGAUUAUGAUCAGGGAACUGUGUAUGGAGCUGAAUAUCAACUUUAAUGUGUAGGAAACAAUGGUGGCAAUGUUGGAACACUGCAAAGUUUGAGCCAGGUGAGUCCCACAAAUACUCAGACAGGAACAGAAAUAACACCGUAUGCAAGUUUUUCAGGACCCAUUGAACCAACACACCGCCAAAGGUGACAGUUGCCUGGAUUGCAUCCUCACUGGUGACAGGACAUAGUGCUAACAGUAGUCAAAACAGCAUUCUACGGAUUGGUGACAUGCAAAUCCCCCAUCAAAGAAAAAGGUCAAGAUGCAGCCCUCAGCGGGCAAAGUGAUGUACACUAUCUGGGAUAGGAAACGGGUGAUCCUUCUGGAUUUCCUGGAACACUGACCCACCAUCAACACUGCCUCCUACACUGUGACGCUGACUAAGCUGAAGGCCUGAAUUUCCAAAGUCAGGCCAGAGAAAACGAUCUUUAUCUUGCAACACUGUUAAGACUAUAACCCCAGUUGGAAGACUGUGCAGCACACUGCCAGUCGUGCCUAGGCUGUCCUACCAUGCUCACAGCACAGUCCAGAUUUGGUACCUUCUGAAUUCCAUCUGUUUGCUCUGAUGAAAGAUGGAUUGCAUGGGCAACAUUUUCCUAGCUACAACACCUUCACAGCAGCUGUGAAACAGUGGGUCACCUCCACUGGUGGAGGUUUUUAUGAACACAACAUAAAGGCUCUUGUUCAUCGCUGAUGAAAAUGCAUAGCUAAUGGUUAUGACUAUAUUGAAAGAUAGUGUUUUGUAGCUGAGAAUUUGCUCUUAUCAAACAGUUCUAUUGUUCUAUCCAUGGAAAUAAAUAGGAGGCCUUACUUUUGGAAUGAUCUAUAAAUACCUGUAUAAAUCUAUAACUAAAUACCUAUAUAAAUCUAUAAAUAAAUCUGUAAAUACCAACUGCCUUCCAUGAGAUCAGAAAUUACUUUAUUUUCACUUUAGAUGUUUACAAUGAGAAUAUAUGAAAGGUGCUUUUAUUUGUGUCACUUUUAAGUGCAUCAAGUAUUUCUCUCUUCCAAGUGUUAAUUAAAAACACGCACUAAUAUGCAAACUGCUGCACACUUUCAGUUGAUUGAGAGACCUUUUUAACAGGCUAAUGCCUUUGUAUGCAUUGGGAAAACCCACUUGGGCUCCCCAAGGAUGGAACUAUGAUUGCUUACGUUUGAAUAUGCAAGCUGGACAGGGAAAAUCUCUAGUAAGAGCUUCAGGCCCUGGCUGGAACACAAAAAUAAGCCACAUCAGGCAACGUGGUUACAACUUGGUUGUCUCUUAACCUGGUGACUCAUCUGGUUUUGAUUUGUGCCGGAGACAGUGCUUGAGCAGUGUUCCACAACCAGACAAAAGCCUUCCUAUGAUCAAAUACUGAGCACAACUGGCAAUCAUAACUGUUAAACAAAAGUGCCAAAGUAACUUAGGAACACAGAUCUAGUUGACAAUCAGAGGGACAUUUGGCCUAGUUUAUUUGAUGCCUUUGUCUUGCCUUUUUAGCAGUGCUAGCACUGAUUUUUCAUCUAUGAUCUGGACAUCUAAGUCACUCAGCCCUAGAUCCCUGUAGGUAUCUUCACAUCUCCUAUCCCUCAGUUUUUCUACUUCAAGCUGUUAGCUGGGUACCCCCUCAGAUCACUUAGAGCCACGCUCAUCAGAGCCAUGCCAGCACAGCUACGGACCUGGGCCCUCCCAUGGGCUCAAGCACUGCAAAGGACAGUGUGUUUGAGUGCAACCAGGAGCUCAUGGCCAUGACUGGAGGCUGUGCAACACCGCCCCUCUCUGCCAGAUAGAGCUGGUGAUACUUGGCUUUUGUCCCUCCCACACUUUCCCACCUUUGAUUUGCUUAUGUAUUCCACAACAGAAAUGAUUCCUUUAGUAAUCUUUACUACCAUUAUUCCCAUAAUUAGCAUGUAUUUAUAUUCUGAGAACUGUAUAGCAUUAGUUACAGAAAAUCUCCAAGCCCAAACAGCUUUUUGCUGUGACAUCUCUAAGGUAACUGCUGUGCACAGUCACACUCACGGUAAUUAAGAUACAUUCAGACCUUCAGUUCUCAGAACGGUGUGUAUUAUCACAGAUGACUCCUAGAAAUUUAGUUCUCAUUUAAUACUUGUCCCCUGUUUGAAGCACAGUCCUAGGAGCAGGUGGGGAAGCUCUGCAAGCAUAAGGAAGGCGGGCAUUUUUCACCAGCUCUCUCUGACUCCUGUAUAGCAAUUCGGUAUGUCAUGCUGAAUCUGUAACACCGGCUGGCAUACCCGCUAUGGUCUUACUGCAUUUCUGCAUCCACUCCCUAUAUAAAUCUCCUUUGUAAUUCACCCUUUCAGGGAAGAUCUCAGGAACUACUUCUGUCUUCAAGGCUUUUGCCCUCUCAGGGCAGCCCCAAGGGUACAGCCUCGCAGCGCGCACCUCGUGGCACCCAUGCACAGCAGCAGUGCAAGUUUUUGCAGCUAGCAGCACACACUUUUGCCAGAGUUAUCCAGCUGGUCUGAAAACAUUUUCAUCUCUUUUAGUCUUUUAUCAAAUUGAGACAAAAAUUUCGUGUUGGGCACUUGUUUUAGGAGAAUAGGGAGAUUUGCAUGUUAAAGUAAAACUGAAAAACACAGCACACGUUGAAAGGGCUCAUAGAAGAUGUGUAAUGUUCCACACAUCCAUGAGGCAGAAAUAUAAAACCUGUGAGCAGUAGCCUUCAAGGCAGAAAUUUGAUUGAUGGUUUUAUUGUCUGUGUGACUGAUCUUGUCUCAGGAAAAACACACCCUCUCCAAGGCAGAAAAGGAGAACUAACACCACCUGCCCAAGGAUGUUGUGGAUACCCGUCCCUGGAUGCAGUCCAAGCCAGGCUGGACGUGGCUCUGGGAGGCCUGGUCUAGUGGCUGGUGACCCUGCACAUAGCUGAGGGGCUAAAACCAGAUGGCCAUUGUGGCCCUUUUCAACCCAGGCCAUUCUAUGAUUCAUUCUAUGAUUCUAUGAAAAUCCUGGCCUCACCGAAAGUCCUGCGUGCACUGAUUUUCACCUGGUCUGCUAUAACCAAGUGUACAGGCUUCGUUCCAGCAGGAGAUACUCAGCUUCUGCUCAUCAGUUAGUGCUGUUACACUAAAAAAAAACCCAAAAUAACAAACUUAAGCACACAUAGGUUUUAAAAUCGCAUGUUACGUAGCUUAUGAUUGCAUGCUUUCACCUAAUGAGUGCCACAGAGCAGUGCAUGACCUCAGAAAGAACUAAUACUGUCUUGUGUUUAAAAAAACACCCUUGCUUUUAAUAAGAAUUCCAGCUGAAGCUACUACUUCUGUUUUGACACAAGCAUUUUCUGUAUACAAUUCUGAAAAACAUCUGGCACCAUGGAGCUGUGCUUUCAAGUUUCUGUUGCAGUUCCCAUUAGCUGUAAUGACACCUACUGCUAGGGACAGACCUGAUUAACUGCAGGCUCACACACUGCUAAGUACAGGCACAUGUAGAACCUAGUGAAGCAAACACCAUGGAUUUUUUUUUUUGGCCCUUUGUUUUAAUAGGAUUGCCAGGAUGACCAGAAUCUGAAAACUCACAGCUCAUUACCAAGAACACAACGCUGAUCCAGACAGAGCCAGAAGACUUUAAAAUGACUUCAGGGAUGAGAUCUAACAGGCUGUGGUAGAAUGUGGAGAACAUUUUCCCUCUUCUUACGCCUUUCACCGGUAUGGAACAUUUGCUACGUAUGUACUGAAUGUAAAACUAAGCAAGAAAUUUCCAGCCAGUUUUGCAUCUUGGAGAGGAGCAGCAUGUUUUAAGCUUCACACAGCGCAAUCACUACUCACAGUCCUCUAAGAUGUUUCUGCUGCAGCUGUGGGCCUGCAUUUCCAGCAGAAGAAAGAGUUCAGGAUUCGCAAUGCAUGACCGAGAGCCAUUGAACAUGGCCAGCAUGGCAACUAUCCUUACAGCAGUUUUAUCUUUUUUUUUAAGAGACCCUCUUUAAACAGUGAGAAGAUUAAAACCAGCCACAUUAUCGCCUACUCUCCUGAGUUUUUCAGACACAGAGUAAUUUUUCUUCUUCUACCAGCUGCCUUUAUCUCUAUGAACACAAGUUAAAUAACAUUCCUAACUGUUUAACAAAGGUAUUAACAAAUGGCCUUGUUUUGAAGCAUUCAUUGACCUCAAAAACCCUCAGCGUCCAGAUACGUGCCAUAUUUUUGGACAAGAGAAGCAAUGAAAUACCCAGUUCUGCUGCUGAAUGUAGUAUCAGUUUAUUUGCUCUAACCAUGGAUGUCUGGGCUUGCCUAGCUACACAUAUGACAACCUUAAAUUUAUAUUCCAUUUUACAGUAAUCAGAUGCUGUAUAAUUAAAAUACACACAAAUGACUCUAUGUAACCAGCUUGAAACCUCUGAAAUUAAGUUAUCCUUCAGUUUUACAUCAUUCUCAUUUCCCGAAAUGUUUUGCAUGUAGAAGAAUGAUUUCCACAGUUGGGGUGGUUUUUCUCUUUUUUUUUUCUUUCUUUUUUUCCUCUUGCAUUAAGACUAUAGUUUGUAUUUCAGAAUGUCUUUAAUGGACUCAACUAACAUUCCCUGGCCAUGAUUUUCCAGGUACAAUCUGUGCCUUUUAGAUAGUCAGCAAAUUCACUUUCAGGACUGUUUAAACGCCAUGAAAUGAGACUGCUUAUGAGCAAGUGCUGAUACAAAAUCAAUGUCUGUCUUUGUCUUUUCAAUCCGGCCCCUGAUUUUCAUCACCACAGCUUUUUAUUUGCAUUAUAAAAUUGAUCCGCUGGAGAGCGUUGCGUGACAAUUAUUUGUAAAAGACAGGAAGAUUCCUGAGAGGGACAGAGGGCUGAACAAAAACAGUGCACUGCUAGUAAAAUUUGUUGCAUUCGAGCUAAAAUGCCCAGGAAAUAUGAACAGCUUGAAUGCAAGUCCACAGCAUUUUUGGAAUCAUUUCCCUGAAAAUUUCAUUCCUCUGAAAUGAACCAGAAACAAAACAAAUCAAGAACAGACAAACUUUUGAAUAGCAAAACUUUUUUUAAUUCAAAUUUUUCCCUAUAGAGACUUUAAAAGAGAUAAUUAUUUUGUAGGCAGUUAUUAAAAAUAAUGCCAGACACUGAAGUUAGAGGUAUUAGGGACAGGGUAACAAGAAUUGAAUGUAGACUUACUUUGCUGGUCACAAAUGUCUAUUUUAGCCCUUGGUUUUCUGUGAAUUAAGACACUGAUGUUACGCUGCCUAUCAGGGAAGGCAGUAGAGCAUCAGGCGGAUCUUCUGAAGCAAACUAACAUUUCACCUACCAUAAGUAAGAUUCCCUACACACUUUCUAGCCCACAUUUCUUACUUUCAAAAAGGGCAUCAUUACGUCCUGUCAGCCCUUCCUCAGAUUUCUUCCUGGAAGUCCAUCAGAAUUGGUGGGGUGACUCUACAGGCAGAACAACUGCAGUGGAAAGCACUCUCCUUCCCAAAUUUGCAUUAUGUAAUAAAACAUAUAUUAAGUCACAAUUCAAAAACUGACUAAAAAAAAUCUCUUCACUUAGGGGUCAAGCAUUUACUGGUUCCAGGGCAGAAAAUGAGACAUCCUCUUUGUAUUACUAUCCAAGUCAUCACUUGUUAGUUUCCUCAAACAAAUUACGCUAGGUGGAUUUACAUAACUGCUGAAGAAGUGGCACUUGCCAUUGGUAUAACACGAAUGCCACAAAGCAAUGAAGAAAUGGAUCACCUUUUUCCAAAUGGCCACUCUUGAGAGCACACUGGCAGAUGGAGAAAGUUGAGCAUAAGCAUAGGUUGUACCUCUGGGCCCUCUCACACCCCGCUUUCUCGGAGAAGAUGAAAAAAAGGAAAUCGCUUUCCAAUCCAAACGAUAGAGGAAUUGAAACACUCUGAGAACAUUUCUUUUGUAAGAAUCAAAACCAACACGUAAGACAGAGCCAGAGAAUGUUACAGUUGAAAUAUAUUUGCUUUGCAUUUUGAAGGCAUAUCCAGCGAUGAUAUCACAGCCACUUCAGGAAAGACAGUAGAUUGUAUAGUUAUCUGACAGGCAGGGCAUAACCCUAAAACUAUACAACCUACUACCUCACCCCAAAGGACAGUCAGACUCCGAUCACAGAAACCACAAACUAUAUUCCCAGAAAGCUGGAUGGCUUGGUGAUGACCUAGAAGACAAAAAACUCUGGAGACAAAUAUUAUCAGUCUUCAUUCUGAAAGAGUUUGCUAUACACCAGUUGACAUUUUGCUUAAUGAGCUCUAGUUUCAUGUUUUAAAAGUUUCACAUAUUUGCAAUGUGUGGAGUCAUGUCAGUGACAAGAUACACAAGAGGGAAGAGGAUACAGAAUUCAUUUUUAAUAAAUGCACUUUUGUACUUCCAGCUCUGACACGACUGCAUCUUAACAAACCAGUUUUGUCACUUCAAGAAAGGCAUCACAGUGACUUAGAGAAUAAAUGCUGAAUUAGAGGGAUUUGUUCUGCAUUGCCUUCUAGGUAUUCCUCUCUUAUCCUAGUGCGGAACAGCUCAGUUGCUCUUACUGACUUUCCCAAGUUCUGCAUGGGUAAAUCUAUAAGACUGAACCAAGAAUUUGGUGACUGUCAGAAAGUGUUAUGGCUUACUUAAGCAACAUGCUACUUCUAAAGGACAGUACCUCACAACUGAAUCAAUGGCUAAACUAAAUGUACUCUACUGUACUACACAGACGUUGGUUAAUAUGACUAGCAAAAUUGCCACUAGUGUACUGUAACCUCACACCAACACUAGAGGUUGAGGGUGCUCUCACUCCCCACCACCUGGUCUGAUGGACUGCAACACAUCGCACUCAGGGAAAAUCCAAAUAAGUGACAAAAACUAUGAUAUCAGUCCAUACCUGUAAUAUAAACAAAUAAAAUUUCAAACAAAUACUCCAACUUAAUAAGCUAACUUAGAAUCACUGAAUCAUAGAAUGGCCUAGGUUGAAAAGGACCUCAAAGAUCAUCUAGUUUCACCCCCCCUGCUAUAUGCAGGGUCGCCAGCCACCAGACCAGGCUUGAAUGCUUCCAGGGAUGGGGAAUCCACAGCCUCCUUGGACAACCUGUUCCAGUGCAUCACCACCCUCUGUGUGAAACACUUCCUCCUAAUAUCUAACCUAAACCUCCCCUGUCUCAGUUUAAGACCAUUUCCCCUUGCCCUAUCACUAUCUACCCCUGUAAACAGGGGUACUCCCUUCAAGUAUUGGAAGGACACUAUGAGGUCUCCCCGGAGCCUUCUCUUCACUAAGGAAAACUUUUUUUUUGUUGUUGUUAACUGCAAAUUAAAGACAAGAAUCCAUGAUACACACAGAAAAACUAAAGCCAUGCUUUACAACAAAACAGAUCUCACCUCAAAGUAGGUAGGUCACGUUUCAGAGCAACCGAUGGGAUCUUCCACUGCUCAUAGCAUAAUCACUAUGGGGAUGCCGAAAAAGAAAACACGCAUGUUUCAACUUCAUUUUAGUGCACACUGAAACAGUUGUAAGGUGAGUGACAGCAAGUGAAAAAGCAGACACAAGCUUCUCCGUACAUUUUCUCAGAGGGCCAUUCACAGCACCAGAUUUCUCUUUCCGUUGUUGUUAUCCCAUCACACCUCAGCCCAGGGGGUACCCCUAA